rnacentral:lncRNA from 1 species
AUGCACCUCCACAGAGGUCUCCUUCUCAGCCAAGCCUCAGGGAAUUGUGGCAUUCAUGCUGUACCCGUGAUCUGUUCCCACUGGAGGAGGAGAUGUCUAGACUGUGAUGGGGUCUCUGAGAACUGCUCUUCUGACUUUAUUCCUGAAAGAGGCUGUGUGCAAGAAUUGAGUCCCAGGGGGACUGGAAUGUUGUCUGUCUUGCAGGGGCUCUUGGUGAAAUGGAGGAACCAUGACAAAGGCAAGUCCAAGGUGGAGCAGUAUUCUCACAGCUCUAAGUGGACUCCCACAGGUGCAGGUGAAUGUGUGGGACCGCAUCCACCCCUCACCAGCUUGUAUCCUCACCUUUAUCUGAUGUUAUGGCUGCUCAAAGUAUCUGUCCCAAAAUGA